UCAAACUUGGUCAUUUAGAGGAAGUAAAAGUCGUAACAAGGUUUCCGUAGGUGAACCUGCGGAAGGAUCAUUACAAAUCCACCUUACGGUCUCUGACCACGUUGAACUUGUUCCACAGAGUGAGAGAAGAGUGAGUGGUGGUGGUGUGGUGUUGGGUGGCUUGUCCAUCCAUCAUCCCAUCCAUUCAUCUUCCUCUUCUCCUCUGUGUAUCUCUCUUCACUUUAUUCUUGUUGCUCAAUUGAGUAGUAUGGUGUAUAUAUGUUGUGAGUGAUGUGAUGAUAUUCAUGUGUGAGUUGAUGCAUUGUCAUCCUCUCUCCAUCAAUCUCAAUCUUUCACUCAACACACACAUAUUAUCCAUAUGAAUGUCGUCAAACACAAAGACACAGUCACAACUUAUAACAAUGGAUCUCUAGGCUCUUGCAUCGAUGAAGAACGCAGC
rnacentral:misc_RNA from 1 species